CCUACGGACUCUGCAGUGGGGAAUAUUGGACAAUGGGCGAAAGCCUGAUCCAGCCAUGCCGCGUGUGUGAAGAAGGCCUUCGGGUUGUAAAGCACUUUCAGUGGGGAAGAAAGCCUUGGGGCUAAUACCCUCGAGGAAGGACAUCACCCACAGAAGAAGCACCGGCUAACUCCGUGCCAGCAGCCGCGGUAAUACGGAGGGUGCGAGCGUUAAUCGGAAUUACUGGGCGUAAAGCGCGCGUAGGCGGUCUGAUAAGCCGGUUGUGAAAGCCCCGGGCUCAACCUGGGAACGGCAUCCGGAACUGUCAGGCUAGAGUGCAGGAGAGGAAGGUAGAAUUCCCGGUGUAGCGGUGAAAUGCGUAGAGAUCGGGAGGAAUACCAGUGGCGAAGGCGGCCUUCUGGACUGACACUGACGCUGAGGUGCGAAAGCGUGGGUAGCAAACAGGAUUAGAUACCCCGGUAGUC
rnacentral:rRNA from 1 species